UGCAGUUGAAUUAGAUCCUGGUGACCCCGGUGCAGCUGCUGCUCCCCCGGGUCCUGAUGCCCCUGCUCCCCCGGGUCCUGGUGAAGUCGCUGCUCCACCAGGUCCUGGUGCCGGAGGACCACCUGCUGCGGUAGAUGGACCACCUGCUGGUGAAAGAGCUGGUGGUCCACCUGCCGGAGAAGGAGAUGAAGCCAUAGGUCCACCAGCCGGAGGUGUGCUGACAACUGGAGAAGGAGAUGAUGCCAUAGGUCCACCAGCCGGUGGUGUGCUCACUACUGGAGAUGGAGAUGAUGCCGUAGGACCGCUGGUCGGAACAGGGGAGCUUGCUGGAGGAAUAGCCACUGGAGAUGGUGGUGAACCAGAGGGUGAUGGAGUGGUUGUCGUUGGUGACGGUGAAGGUGGUGACAAUCCACCAGCACUUGGUGAAGGAGAAGAUUUUGGUGUUCGUGGAGAUAUAACAACAA
rnacentral:lncRNA from 1 species